GAAGAAGAUGCACAAGCAAGUAUUGUUGUAUGUUGAUUUUGUCAAUCCAUCUAAAGUCCUGAUUGAAGAAAGUUAUUUUGUUCAGCCCUUAUAUUUUCUCCAUACCACACGGCGAUCCUGAUUCACCUCUGCAGUGAGAAAAGGUGGUUUAUAAAGAGGAACAACACCCAGUGUAACCACUGACGUUUACUGACAUACUAUUACAAAAAUGAAAUGUGUUAAAGAAGAGUUUAAAGAGGAGAGUGAAGACAUCAGUAUUACAGAAUCAUGCAGAUUGAAACAUGAAGAUACUGAAAAACAAAGAGACUUGACUGAAGUAAAAGAAGAAAGUCAAGAACUGAAUGACAUGGAGGAGAAACACCAUGAUCAUAAAUGUGAUUGAUUCAUGACUGGUGAAGAACCUUUAAGUGGCUCAAAGACUGAAAUUCAUUUUUCAACGAAAAGAACUCGAGGAGCAAGAGCCAAAAAUUCUUUCACCUGCCAUAAGUGUGGAAAGAGUUUGGCACAUAAAGCAGAUCUUCUGCGUCACAUGAUAAUUCACACUGGAGAGAAGCCUUUCACCUGCUCUCAGUGUGGCAAGAGUUUUGCACAUAAAGCAAAUCUUAAGCGUCACAUGAAAAUUCACACUGGAGAAAAGCCAUACCACUGUACUUCAUGUGGAAGAGUUUCAGCCAAUCAAGCAAUCUCAAAAUUCAUCUGCACUAUCAUUCUGGAUUGAAACCAUUUAACUGUGAUCAGUGCAGCAAGAAAUUUACACUGGCAUCACAGCUAAAGUUACACCUGGCAAAUCAUUCUAAUGAGAAACCUCACGUGUGUUCGAUUUGUGGAAAGAGUUUCAAUACAUUAACACACCUGAAAACACAUGUAAGAGUACAUACUGGAGAGAAGCCAUACCUCUGUACUUCAUGUGGGAAGAGUUUCAGCCACUCAAGUAAUCUAAGGACUCAUUUAAAAAAGCGUUGUCCAAAACCGUCAUAUGAGCAAUGUUAACUUCAGGGCCAAAAUGUAUUAAAUGUAAUCAAAUGUCAGUCAGUUCACUAGAUCUGGUUGCUGUCGACUGAAAUUAAUGCAAUCAUUAGAAAAUAGAAACUGAACAAGUGAGAGGACAGAAGUGCGUAAGUUGAGGCUCAGAUUUUGAAAUACUUUGUUUUAAUUGACAAUGAGCUCUUGUGUUACAUGACAGCAAGAAGAGCCUUUCUUCAGGAGCGAAGUGCGUAAUUACUGUUGUGGACUCUCUGCUAUGUACAGUGCCUUAUAAAAGUAUUCAGUCCCCUGACCAAUUCUCUCAUAUUACCGAAUUACAAAUGGUACACUGAAAAUUCAUUCUGAUUGAUAUAUUAUUUUAAAACACUGAAAUUCAAAAUCAAUUAUUAUACGUUAACAUUAUAUUUUUGAUGGGAAAUAUUUGUAUGAAAUUCAACCCCCACACGGUAACAUUUGAUCGAGCCACCUUUUGCUGCAAUAACUGCAUUAAGUCUUCUGGGGUACAUACAGUGGAUAUAAAAAGUCUACACACCCCUGUUAAAAUGCCAGGUUCUUGUGAUGUAAAAGAAUGAGACAAAGAUAAAUCAUGUCAGAAAUGUUUCCACCUUUAAUGUGACCUAUAACAUGAACAAUUCAAUUGGAAAAACAAACUAAAAUCUUUGA